AGCAGUGGGGAAUAUUGGACAAUGGGCGAAAGCCUGAUCCAGCCAUGCCGCGUGUGUGAAGAAGGUCUUCGGAUUGUAAAGCACUUUAAGUUGGGAGGAAGGGCAUUAACCUAAUACGUUAGUGUUUUGACGUUACCGACAGAAUAAGCACCGGCUAACCCUGUGCCAGCAGCCGCGGUAAUACAGAGGGUGCAAGCGUUAAUCGGAAUUACUGGGCGUAAAGCGCGCGUAGGUGGUUUGUUAAGUUGGAUGUGAAAUCCCCGGGCUCAACCUGGGAACUGCAUUCAAAACUGACUGACUAGAGUAUGGUAGAGGGUGGUGGAAUUUCCUGUGUAGCGGUGAAAUGCGUAGAUAUAGGAAGGAACACCAGUGGCGAAGGCGACCACCUGGACUAAUACUGACACUGAGG
rnacentral:rRNA from 1 species